CGCGUAGGUGGUAGUGAAAGUCUAUGGUGGAAUCUUAGGGCUUAACCCUAAAACUGCCUUGGAAACUUCAUUACUUGAGUCAGUGAGGGGAGGGUAGAAUUCCUGGUGUAGCGGUGAAAUGCGUAGAUAUCAGGAGGAAGGCCGGUGGCGAAGGCGGCCCUCUGGCGCUGAACUGACGCUGAGGCGCGAAAGCGUGGGUAGCAAACAGGAUUAGAUACCCUGGUAGUCCACGCCCUAAACGGCGGGUACUAGGUGUAGGGCUCGUAAGGGUUCUGUGCCGAAGGGAAACCAUUAAGUACCCCGCCUGGGGAGUACGGCCGCAAGGUUGAA
rnacentral:rRNA from 1 species